AAAUAGCGGCUGCUUCUUUUCCAGGGAUUUAUUUAAUGGGGAUGUGUUCAAGGCAAGACCGAAUUCAGAAGGAUAUCGACGUCGUGAUCCAGAAGUCCAGAGCUGAGGACUGCCUGUUUGCAG
rnacentral:lncRNA from 1 species